CGGAUUGUAGGCUGAAACUCGCCUACAUGAAGCUGGAGUUACUAGUAAUCGCAGAUCAGAAUGCUGCGGUGAAUGCGUUCCCGGGUCUUGUACACACCGCCCGUCACACCACGGAAGUUGGGGGCGCCCGAAGCCACUUAGCUAACCCUUUUGGGAAGCGAGUGUCGAAGGUGAAAUCAAUAACUGGGGUGAAGUCGUAACAAGGUACC
rnacentral:rRNA from 1 species